UACAGAGGUCCCAAGCGUUGUUCGGAUUCACUGGGCGUAAAGGGCGCGUAGGUGGCCUGUGGAAGUCUGCGGUGAAAGCCCGGCGCUCAACGCCGGGUCGGCCGUGGAUACUCUCGGGCUUGAGCUUACUAGAGGCAGAUGGAAUUCCGGGUGUAGCGGUGGAAUGCGUAGAGAUCCGGAAGAACACCGGUGGCGAAGGCGGUCUGCUGGGGUAAUGCUGACACUGAGGCGCGACAGCGUGGGGAGCAAACAGG
rnacentral:rRNA from 1 species